UACAGAGGUGGCAAGCGUUGUUCGGAAUUACUGGGCGUAAAGGGCGCGUAGGCGGCCUUCUAAGUCAGACGUGAAAUCCCCAGGCUUAACCUGGGCACUGCAUCUGAUACUGGAAGGCUUGAGUGCGGGAGAGGGAUGUGGAAUUCCAGGUGUAGCGGUGAAAUGCGUAGAUAUCUGGAGGAACACCGGUGGCGAAGGCGGCAUCCUGGACCGACACUGACGCUGAGGCGCGAAAGCCAGGGGAGCAAACGGG
rnacentral:rRNA from 1 species